rnacentral:misc_RNA from 1 species
AACGCAUCUUGCGCUCUUUGGUAUUCCGAGGAGCAUACCUGUUUGAGUGUCAUUAAAUUCCCUCAACCACAUUUCUUAUUUUGAAGUGAGGCUUGGAUGCUGGAGUGUUGCAGGCAAUUUUCAUGUUGUCUGCUCCUCUAAAAUGCAUUAGUGGAGAUAUAAUCCUUUUCACAAAAGGCUUUUGAUCUUCCAUAUGGUGUUAUAGAUAUCUUCUUACCACCGAUUUGUGAGAUUAGGCCUGAGGGGGGAUGUCUUGCUUUGCUCUACAACUGUCUUGUUUUAAAGACUGAACUUGACUUCCAAGUUCAUUAUUUGACAUUUGAUCUCAAAUCAGGUAGGACUACCCGCUGAACUUAA